ensembl:lncRNA
CCUGAGGCAGCCCAAGGUCCCCAACUACCACCCAUUCCCUGAAAAAAACAAGUUAUAAAUGAGCUGUAAACAAAAAAGCAAGCAAGCCCAUGUGCAAAGACAAUGUUUUGUUUUUAAUGAUUGGGGCAUUGAUCAGCUCUGUUAAUGCACUCCAGUUGGGAAAUUCAAGUUGAAAAUCCUCUGAAAUAAGAUAAGAUGCUCAUAUUAAUGGCUUCAUCUCAGGCCCCGGGGUAGGUGCUUUGCCAUAAUUUUAACACAGGUUCAUUUCAAUUUCAGUAGCAACAAAUCUCUUCAUUUAGCCAGGUCUUCACUAACAAUGGAAAGUAGAUAAUUACAGCAGAUGAGAAGAUAUCUAAGCUGAAAAAAAGGAGGCUAAUCUCACUGUAAUUAUAGGAAUAUAUAUAUUUCUUUUAAUAGAAAGGUCAUUUAGCUAAUUUGAGGCAAAGUUGUACUUACAAUGAUUUUUAAAGCAAGUCUAAGAGAUCACUUAAGUGCUUACACCCUGGAGUCCGACAGGCCUGGGUUUGAAUCCUAGAUUUGCUCUUUAAUAGUUACUUGAGCUUGGACAAAUCACUUAACAUCUCUAGAUUUCUGUCUCCUUGCCUACAAAACAAAAAUGAGUGGUACUUACACAUAUCUCAUAAUGUUGUUAUAAAGACUGAGACACUGUGUGCCUUGUCUUUAUAGAUGGGGUGCAUGAUUAGUACUGAUUAAUGUUCUAUGUCAUUGCUGUUAGAGCUUAUAUUUGUCAGUCUUUAUGCUUUACUAAGUACUUUCAGGCAUGUCAUCUCAUUUUCAAUAUUUAAUCCUGAGAACAUUUACGUAAUAUAGAAUGAUACGUAGAUAUGCCUUCAUAUAAAGGAAAAUAUGAUAAAGACAAGGAGAGAAGCAAAGGGUAUCAUAUAUCAGAGGGGGGAGCUACCAUACUCAAUUGUGGGAAUAUUGGCAAAUAUUCAUGGAAGAAGUAAUAUCCAAACAGGAAGGAUGGGUAGGGUUUCCAUGGUAAAGGCUGUAAAUGAGCAGAAAGAUGAUUUCAAGUGGAAGGAUUAUUAUUACAAAGGUCCCACAAACGUGUGUGUUCAGGGAACAACGAGCGGUGCAGCCUGGAGACUUGUUCAGGAGCAGUGGGAAGUCAGACUGCCAAGAUGGGGGCGGGGCUGUGCUGCUGAGAGCCUUGAAUGCCAGGACAGAAAGCCAUGUCUCAUUUGGUAGUUUCAGGUGGGAAAGCCUUUAAGCAGACUGGAGCUAGGCUUACAUAUUUACUCCAACAACAUUCCAAGACAGGAAGAAUAAAACUGGAAAGGUGAGGAGGAAAAAUGAGGAUGAGGUGUGUGAUGGGAAGGUACAUGAAAGAAAGUGUGCUUGGGAGCAGGAGGGAACCAGACUAGAAGAGCAGAAAAUUCUUCUUGGAGAAUAGACUGAUAGAUGACGAUGACGAUAAUGAUGGUCGCUACCAUCUACUGGGCACUUGCCCUGGGUCAGUCUCUGGGCUGAGUGCUCUACAUCCACUUCUCAUUUGAUUCUCAAACAAUUCUAAAGGAUUAAUUUCAUUUUCCAUCUCACCAUGAAAAUUUCAUGAUGAAACUGAGGCUCAGAGAAGGUAAAUGAGUAGCCCAAAAUCUCACAGCAGGGAAAGGUUGGAGUCAGAAUGGAAGUCCAGUCAGACUGUGCUGUUCCACUGCACCUCACUUAUCAUUGGGGCAAGGAGUGAAUGGAAUAUAGAAAUGCUCCCUGGAACUAUUAUAAUGGCAAAGGAACCCAAGCCCUUGCUUAUUGGACCUAACUCCUGUGGCCUUAUGUCUGCCCCAACCAACCAGACUGUAAACUCCUUGAGGGUGGAAAUGCACCUUUGUUUGUAUGUUUGCACCCCUUAACAGUACACUACACACUGUUGAUUCAUUUACAUUUAUUCCACAAAUAUUUAAUUACUGCUUCUAAAGAGCCAGGCUCUGUGCUAGACACUAACGUUUGAAAAAUGAAAUAAUAGGAUACAAGAAUGCAAAAAGCAUGGUCAUGGUUGCGACUAGAUUGUAGGUUUGUAGGCAUUUGUUAUACUGUCCUACCACUUUUGUGUGCAUUUGAAAAUUUUUGUAAUAGAAAGUAUAAAAAAGAAAAGGGAGGAAGAAAGGAUUCCACGGAAGGAUUCUUGCCAAGGAACUUCCCGAUGGUUCUUUGUUGCUAAACAUAGCGAAUACUGCUCUGUCCUCAUUUUCCUUGACAGCUGUCUCCUUGAACAACUGAAAAUACUUGUCAGACAAAGAUGAGUCAGAGAGGUAGGAGGAAGCCAGCAGAGCAUGGGUUAAGGAGCCCACACAUUCUCCUGCUUUCUUUUUUCCUCUCCAGCUGCUGUUUCUCAGUAACCUUCCGCCGUCUCCUUUUCCUCCUUCCCUGCUUUAAAUGCCAGAGUUGUGCAUGUCUUCAUUUAUACCCUUGUUUUUUUCCUCAACUGGCUCAUUCUUUAUCCAAGUUCUCAUCCUUUACCCAGACUUUCUAUAUCAUCCAUAUGAUUAAAUUUUCCCAAUUGAAAUUACUAAACCAGUCUCUCUCCUGAGUAGUCUCUCUCAGAUAGGAACCCAAAUGCCUAUGGGGUAUACAUUCUUGAAUAUUUCAUGGUACCUCAAAGUCAAAAUAUCAGAAUCACUCUCUUCAUCUUCUUCCUUGUCCAGUUCCCGACUCAUAACUGUUCCCCUUGCUGUGUUACUUAACUCAGAAAGGCGAAGUACCAUGGACCCAAAGUCAUCCAGAAGUCCAGUGAAAUUGACCUCCUAAGAAUCCGCUUAAUUUAUCCACGCCCUUUCUGCUAUUUAGUAAACAAUGGAAAGAUGAAUGAUUGGAACUCAAGACAUUUCCUCAAAUGAUUCAUCCUAGAAAGCAAAACAAAACAUAGA